UGGGCUUUUACAGAACAUGAUAGCUCCAGGCAGUUGGACUUUCUAUAUAGUGCCUUCUGGCUAUGCUUAAGGGUUCCAGUGAGCAAGGCAGAAGUUGCAAGAGAGGGUAGGUGAGAUGAUGUCACAGUUGGCUUUGGAACGUUCAGUUUCUCCGAAGGCCAUUUAUUCUCUUCUGGAGAUGGAGAAAGCCAGUGCUCUGCAGAAUGAGAAGAGAAGGUGGCCAUGAGGAAGAUUCAGACCUUCACCGUAUUUAGAGAGAAAACUAAAUCUGGGGAAAAAAAGCAAAAUGGAGAAAAGUUAUGUUUGGUGGGACAGCUUGGCUUCCUGAUUCAGCCUUCCUCACCCUCCCCAUAACAACAUGGUGGUUCUUCAAGGCUCCUCUCCUCUUCCCUGUGAAUGAAGGAUACAGGGGAGAGCAUGUCCCUUUGUCUAGUUAUCCUAGACGUGAAUACUUCCAGAGGCACAGAACGGAGUACCUGCCCACUCACCUCUACAUUGAAUGGCUCAUCCUUGAAAGCCAAGUUGAGCCACUUUGCAUGAAUAAAGCACAGUAUUAUCAACAUUGA